UAUUGGACAAUGGGGGCAACCCUGAUCCAGCCAUGCCGCGUGAGUGAUGAAGGCCUUCGGGUUGUAAAGCUCUUUUGGCGGGGACGAUGAUGACGGUACCCGCAGAAUAAGCCCCGGCUAACUUCGUGCCAGCAGCCGCGGUAAGACGAAGGGGGCUAGCGUUGUUCGGAAUUACUGGGCGUAAAGCGCGUGUAGGCGGUUUUCCAAGUUGGGUGUGAAAGCCUUGGGCUUAACCCAAGAAAUGCACUCAGUACUGGAAGACUAGAGGACCGGAGAGGAUAGUGGAAUUCCCAGUGUAGUGGUGAAAUACGUAGAGAUUGGGAAGAACACCAGGGCGAAGGCGGCUAUCGGACGGUUUCUGACGCUAAGACGCGAAA
rnacentral:rRNA from 1 species